GUUAUACGAUGCUUGCAAGCAGUAUCGUAUACUUUAUAGUUUGUCUAUCCAUUGCUGUUUCUAUGAGUACGCACAUAGCCUACCCAUUUACUGCUUCUAUGUGUACGCACAUAGCUCUUACUGCUAUUAUCAUACUGCUGUGACAAUAUACCUCUGUGGCUCCGACCCACUCACACUCACACACUACUGCUUUCAUGCGUAAGCAUGUUGGCCUGGGUCAAUUGGUAUCAGAGCCAUUUUUCAUAUCGGGGAGG
rnacentral:lncRNA from 1 species